GAAAUGCGAUACGUAUCAUGAAUUGCAGAACUCUGAAUGAUAAAUGUUUGAACGCACAUUGCGCCAAUCUCUUGGUUGGCAUGUCUGUCUGAGAAUCUUUAAAGUUUUCCUUCAAUACAAAUUCGUAUUGGCUCUUGACGAUUUGAUUUACAUCACUUGUCGAAAAUUAAGCCUAACUUUUUUAGUGAGGGGGUGUCUUUGACAAACUCAAAUCGCCUCUGAGCUUACACAAACUUGGUCUCAGAUCAGACAGGAGGACCCGCUGAACUUAA
rnacentral:misc_RNA from 1 species